rnacentral:rRNA from 1 species
ACAUGCAAGUCGAACGGAAAGGCUCCAGCUUGCUGGGGUGCUCGAGUGGCGAACGGGUGAGUAACACGUAAGUGAUCUGCCCUGCACUGGGGGAUAAGCUUGGGAAACUGGGUCUAAUACCCUAUAGGACCGCAUCGUGGUUGGUGUGGUGGAAAGGUUUUUCUGGUGUGGGAUGAGCUUGCGGCCUAUCAGCUUGUUGGUGGGGUAAUGGCCUACCAAGGCGGCGACGGGUAGCCGGCCUGAGAGGGUGUGCGGCCACAUUGGGACUGAGAUACGGCCCAGACUCCUACGGGAGGCAGCAGUGGGGAAUUUUGCACAAUGGGCGGAAGCCUGAUGCAGCGACGCCGUGUGGGGGAUGAAGGCCUUCGGGUUGUAAACUCCUUU